rnacentral:rRNA from 1 species
UAGGGAAUAUUGGGCAAUGGAGGCAACUCUGACCCAGCCAUGCCGCGUGCAGGAUGAAGGCGCUCAGCGUUGUAAACUGCUUUUAUCUAGGAAGAACGGCUGAUUUGCGAAUCAGUGUGACGGUACUAGAGGAAUAAGCACCGGCUAACUCCGUGCCAGCAGCCGCGGUAAUACGGAGGGUGCAAGCGUUGUCCGGAUUUAUUGGGUUUAAAGGGUGCGUAGGUGGUCCUGUAAGUCUGGUUUGAAAGCUGGUGGCUUAACCAUCAGAUGUGGCUGGAAACUGUGGGACUUGAAUGGGUUGGCGGUAGCUGGAACGGGUCAUGUAGCGGUGAAAUGCAUAGAUAUGACCCAGAACCCCGAUUGCGAAGGCAGGCUACUACGACUUGAUUGACACUGAGGCACGAGAGCAUGGGGAGCCAACAGGAUUAGAUACCCUGGUAGUCCAUGCCGUAAACGAUGAUUACUGGCUGUUUUGCUCGAUAGAGUGAGUGGCUGAGCGAAAGCGUUAAGUAAUCCACCUGGGGAGUACGCCGGCAACGGUGAAACUCAAAUGAGUUGAC